GAGCGCAACCCUUGUCCUUAGUUGCCAGCACGUAAUGGUGGGAACUCUAAGGAGACUGCCGGUGAUAAACCGGAGGAAGGUGGGGAUGACGUCAAGUCAUCAUGGCCCUUAUGGGCUGGGCUACACACGUGCUACAAUGGUCGGUACAGAGGGUUGCAAAGCGGCGACGUGGAGCUAAUCUCAGAAAACCGGUCGUAGUCCGGAUUGCAGUCUGCAACUCGACUGCAUGAAGUCG
rnacentral:rRNA from 1 species